AUUGGUCUGCAUACCGUGGCCACAUCUCAGAAGCUUAGCAGGGCUGGGCCUUGUUAGUACUUGGAUGGGAGACCACCUUGAAAGACCAGGGGCUAUUA
rnacentral:rRNA from 12 species